rnacentral:rRNA from 1 species
GUUGGCGUGCUUAACACAUGCAAGUCGAACGGAAAGGCCCUGCUUUUGUGGGGUGCUCGAGUGGCGAACGGGUGAGUAACACGUGAGUAACCUGCCCUUGACUUUGGGAUAACUUCAGGAAACUGGGGCUAAUACCGGAUAGGAGCUCCUGCUGCAUGGUGGGGGUUGGAAAGUUUCGGCGGUUGGGGAUGGACUCGCGGCUUAUCAGCUUGUUGGUGGGGUAGUGGCUUACCAAGGCUUUGACGGGUAGCCGGCCUGAGAGGGUGACCGGCCACAUUGGGACUGAGAUACGGCCCAGACUCCUACGGGAGGCAGCAGUGGGGAAUAUUGCACAAUGGGCGGAAGCCUGAUGCAGCAACGCCGCGUGCGGGAUGACGGCCUUCGGGUUGUAAACCGCUUUCGCCUGUGACGAAGCGUGAGUGACGGUAAUGGGUAAAGAAGCACCGGCUAACUACGUGCCAGCAGCCGCGGUGAUACGUAGGGUGCGAGCGUUGUCCGGAUUUAUUGGGCGUAAAGGGCUCGUAGGUGGUUGAUCGCGUCGGAAGUGUAAUCUUGGGGCUUAACCCUGAGCGUGCUUUCGAUACGGGUUGACUUGAGGAAGGUAGGGGAGAAUGGAAUUCCUGGUGGAGCGGUGGAAUGCGCAGAUAUCAGGAGGAACACCAGUGGCGAAGGCGGUUCUCUGGGCCUUUCCUGACGCUGAGGAGCGAAAGCGUGGGGAGCGAACAGGCUUAGAUACCCUGGUAGUCCACGCUGUAAACGGUGGGUACUAGGUGUGGGGUCCAUUCCACGGGUUCCGUGCCGUAGCUAACGCUUUAAGUACCCCGCCUGGGGAGUACGGCCGCAAGGCUAAAACUCAAAGGAAUUGACGGGGCCCCGCACAAGCGGCGGAGCAUGCGGAUUAAUUCGAUGCAACGCGUAGAACCUUACCUGGGUUUGACAUGGAUCGGGAGUGCUCAGAGAUGGGUGUGCCUCUUUUGGGGUCGGUUCACAGGUGGUGCAUGGCUGUCGUCAGCUCGUGUCGUGAGAUGUUGGGUUAAGUCCCGCAACGAGCGCAACCCUUGUUCACUGUUGCCAGCACGUUAUGGUGGGGACUCAGUGGAGACCGCCGGGGUCAACUCGGAGGAAGGUGGGGAUGACGUCAAGUCAUCAUGCCCCUUAUGUCCAGGGCUUCACGCAUGCUACAAUGGCUGGUACAGAGAGUGGCGAGCCUGUGAGGGUGAGCGAAUCUCGGAAAGCCGGUCUCAGUUCGGAUUGGGGUCUGCAACUCGACCUCAUGAAGUCGGAGUCGCUAGUAAUCGCAGAUCAGCAACGCUGCGGUGAAUACGUUCCCGGGGCUUGUACACACCGCCCGUCAAGUCAUGAAAGUUGGUAACACCCGAAGCCGGUGGCCUAACCAUUGUGGGGGAGCCGUCGAAGGUGGGACUGGUGAU